UCCCUGGAGGAUUAGUGGUUAGGCCUUGGCGCUCUCCCCACUGAGGCCCGGGUUUGAUUCCUGGCCAGGGGC
rnacentral:tRNA from 1 species